rnacentral:tRNA from 1 species
GAGCCUAUAGCUCAGCCUGGUUAGAGCGCCUGUCUUAUAAGCAGGAGGUCCCAAGUUCAAAUCUUGGUAGGCUCA